UGGAAGAACAUCAAAUCAUGGAGAUCUAAGACAUCCAAGAAUUAUGAAAAGUGAAUCAAUCAAAAACAAGUACAAAAGGAAACAAGAUCACAUUACCAGAAUCACAACAAUCAAAUCAAUCAAGACUAAAGGCAAAAGAUGAGAAGACCACACCCUCUACAUGGACAUAUCAGAUAUGGACAUGUAUUACUGUGGAAGUUGUACCCCGUAUGGACAUAUCUGGUAUGAACAUACUUUAUGGUACCAUCCCUCAAUUGAGGAAUGAAUUAAAAUCCUUUAUUAAGAAUAAAUCUCUUGGAUUUACUUACAAAGAUCAAAGGCCGAAGAAGUUGAAGACUAUAAAGGAAAAGACAAAAGGCUUAAUCACUCACGCAACUUCAAAGAAGAAUCUAAAUUUGUCUCAAUCUUAGUCUUACAAAUCUUUGUACUUUUUAGUUGACAAUAGUUAUAUAAAGAAUAGCAUCGAGUCAACUUUGUA
rnacentral:lncRNA from 1 species